CAUGGUUCUCGACAUUGUCGCCGAAGUUUUUGCACUGCACGCCGGUGCGGGGAUGGGAGUGUCUGUCUGUAAGUGAAGUAGUGAGAACUGAAGUUAAACAUCCAUGAACAAGCACAUACAAACGCAUGAACAAGCACGAUUACCAGAACCGAAGGAAGGAAUUCGAAACUUGUGCAUGAACAACAAUAUAUAUCAAGAAUGGAGCACCCAACAGGACCGAUGUAUCAUUCAGAACAAUGAAGAAUGGAGGAAGGAAGGAGAACCUACACAGCGAUGAAAAGCCCUGCUGCUUUUGUGUUGAUUGUUCAGAAGCUAGGGAAUGUUCAUUAUACAUAGAUGCGGAGAAGCUCCCGUUGCCAUCAAAGGUCAACCCCUCUUUUUUGAUUGGUGGGCUCUGCGAAUUAUGAAUCUGCGUCGAGGAUUGCACCAUAUUAAACAUUGCGCAUGCAGGAAACACCUACCUAAUGAAGCUAGCCCUAAUGAACUGGUUAUUCUCACAGCUCAUCACUCGCUCAACUUGUAAAUUAUUUUGCAGAACACAACCGGUGUUGAAAGAAUGUGCAUCUGCUCUAUCUGCUGAACAAGCAGACUGGCUAUGAGCACUCCCUGGUAGUUUAUCAAGACAUCAUAUCAUAACCUGGUUAGUUGCUGUUUACCCUGCCUUGUGUGUGCAUGCAGUUAUACACUCAUCCUUUCAAGGCUGUUCAAGCGGCCUAUUGAUCAGAGUCAUAAAGGGGAUAAAAUAUUGCAGCAUCUCAUCAACUAGUAGUUAAGCAAUCGAUCUGUUUCUGCGACGACUAACUUUGUCGAUCUCCAGUCUGAUCCUGCUGCAUGAAGCAAUCGCUCUGUUUUUGCGACGACUGGCUGUGUCGAUCUCCAGUCUGAUCCUGCUGCAGAUCAUGCUCCGUCGGCGGUGCAUAAUUAGAAUUAACAACUGCAUUAUUGGGGCCUGCCUAGUCCCGGAGACAGCUUGUUAAGUAGAGUAUGUUGUAACAUGCCAUAAGCAGAGGAGCUCGUGCACAAGUCCACAACUACGUUGAAGAAACUAGUAUAUUUUAUCCCCUCUAUGACUUUGAUCAGUAGGCCACUUGAACAGUCAUGGAAAGGAUGAGUAACUGCAUGCCUACACAAGCCAGCGUUGUCAAUGAUGUAUUGCUGUGUUGUACUGUUGUGCUUCCCUCAGCCAUGGAUCAAAGUAUUUGGAGGAAAUCCUUACCAGUUCUAUUAAAUAAAUAUGUCUGUUCUA